ensembl:lncRNA
GCACCAACCACCUUGGGGGCAAACAGGCCGGAUCUCCAGAUACCACAGGAAGAUGGCCCGCCAGCGGGUUUUGAGGAUCCCGAAUGACCACUCCACAAUGUUACGCCCUCUGGCGUGGUUGCAUCGGGCUUCAACAUGACCUGAAGAGAAGGUGCUUACCGGCUACAGGGUGGUAUGGCGUCAUAAUGGCCACGGGACGCUGCAGGCAUGGGUACCCUCCAUCACCCAGCAGGAAGUACCCAGCUGGUGGCAAAACGUUGAUGUGGCAUCCAUCAAUGGCCCCAGCAGCACAUCCAAAGGCCUCGUCACCUGCCAGGCGAGCAAAGCCAGCCCCCACCUCCUCCAUCUCCUCUGCCUUGGGGAGAUGAAUCAUCCUGUGGAGGAUGGCCAUCAUCUCCUCCACCACGCCAUGGACCGUCCUGCAAACUGUGGACAGGGGCAUCCCAAAGGCGUCUGCCGUCACCCUGUACGAUGCUCCACAGGCCAGCCAGUACACCGCCACCAGCACCUCCACCUCAUGGCUCCAUCAAUGGGCUUUUUGCCUGGGGCAGCAAGGCAAGCAACCGGUAGAAGCUCUCCCUGGAGAGCCUGAAGGCUGGCUACAGGUCCCCUCCAGAGAAAAACACAGCUAGUAUUUUAACGUACAAUAAAUUGCAAUUAUGUAUUUAAUAUGUAUUGUCCGCUUUAUAUUUAAACUUUCUACCCUGUGGUAAAAUGACAAAUUCA